rnacentral:rRNA from 1 species
CCGGCGACCGGCGCACGGGUGAGUAACACGUAUGCAACCUGCCCUCUUCAGGGGGACAACCUUCCGAAAGGGAGGCUAAUCCCGCGUAUAUCGGUUUCGGGCAUCCGAGAUCGAGGAAAGAUUCAUCGGAAGAGGAUGGGCAUACGGCGCAUUAGCUAGACGGCGGGGUAACGGCCCACCGUGGCGACGAUGCGUAGGGGUUCUGAGAGGAAGGUCCCCCACACUGGUACUGAGACACGGACCAGACUCCUACGGAAGGCAGCAG